rnacentral:rRNA from 1 species
GACGUAGGGCGCGAGCGUUGUCCGGAAUUAUUGGGCGUAAAGAGCUUGUAGGCGGCUUGUCGCGUCGGCUGUGAAAACCCGGGGCUCAACCAUGUGGUCUGCAGUCGAUACGGGCAGGCUAGAAUUCGGUAGGGGAGACUGGAAUUCCUGGUGUAGCGGUGAAAUGCGCAGAUAUCAGGAGGAACACCGGUGGCGAAGGCGGGUCUCUGGGCCGAUAUUGACGCUGAGGAGCGAAAGCGUGGGGAGCGAACAGG